rnacentral:rRNA from 1 species
CCUACGGGUGGCAGCAGUGAGGAAUAUUGGUCAAUGGGCUUACGCCUGAACCAGCCAAGUCGCGUGAGGGAAGACUGCCCUAUGGGUUGUAAACCUCUUUUGUCAGGGAGCAACGCCGGCUACGUGUAGCCGGACUGAGAGUACCUGAAGAAAAAGCAUCGGCUAACUCCGUGCCAGCAGCCGCGGUAAUACGGAGGAUGCGAGCGUUAUCCGAAUUUAUCGGGUUUAAAGGGUGCGUAGGCGGAAUGCCAAGUCAGCGGUAAAAUCGCGGGGCUCAACCUCGCUCCGCCGUUGAAACUGGCGUACUUGAGUGGGGGAGAGGGAUGCGGAAUGCGUGGUGUAGCGGUGAAAUGCAUAGAUAUCACGCAGAACUCCGAUUGCGAAGGCAGCAUACCGGCGCCCAACUGACGCUGAAGCACGAAAGCGUGGGUAGCGAACGGGAUUAGAUACCCGAGUAGUC